rnacentral:rRNA from 1 species
UACAGAGGUCCCAAGCGUUGUUCGGAUUCAUUGGGCGUAAAGGGUGCGUAGGCGGUCGGGUAAGUCUGAUGUGAAAUCUCACAGCUUAACUGUGAAACUGCAUUGGAUACUAUCCGGCUCGAGGAAUGGAGGGGAGACUGGAAUACUUGGUGUAGCAGUGAAAUGCGUGGAUAUCAAGUGGAACACCAGUGGCGAAGGCGAGUCUCUGGACAUUUCCUGACGCUGAGGCACGAAAGCCAGGGGAGCAAACGGG